rnacentral:rRNA from 1 species
CGCGUAGGCGGCCUUGUAAGUCUUGGGUGAAAUCCCUCAGCUCAACUGAGGAACUGCCUCGGAUACUGCAGGGCUUGAGGCCGGGAGAGGGUAGUGGAAUUCCCAGUGUAGCGGUGAAAUGCGUAGAUAUUGGGAGGAACACCGGUGGCGAAGGCGGCUACCUGGACCGGUUCUGACGCUGAUGCGCGAAAGCGUGGGGAGCAAACAGGAUUAGAUACCCUGGUAGUCCACGCUGUAAACGAUGGGUGCUCGGUGUCGCGGGUAUCGACCCCUGCGGUGCCUUAGUUAACACGUUAAGCACCCCGCCUGGGGAGUACGGUCGCAAGGCUGAA